GACGAACGCUGGCGGCGUGCCUAAUACAUGCAAGUAGAACGCUGAAGGAGGAGCUUGCUUCUCUGGAUGAGUUGCGAACGGGUGAGUAACGCGUAGGUAACCUGCCUGGUAGCGGGGGAUAACUAUUGGAAACGAUAGCUAAUACCGCAUAAGAGUAGAUGUCGCAUGACAUUUGCUUGAAAGGUGCAAUUGCAUCACUACUAGAUGGACCCGCGUUGUAUUAGCUAGUUGGUGAGGUAACGGCUCACCAAGGCAACGAUACAUAGCCGACCUGAGAGGGUGAUCGGCCACACUGGGACUGAGACACGGCCCAGACUCCUACGGGAGGCAGCAGUAGGGAAUCUUCGGCAAUGGACGGAAGUCUGACCGAGCAACGCCGCGUGAGUGAAGAAGGUUUUCGGAUCGUAAAGCUCUGUUGUAAGAGAAGAACGAGUGUGAGAGUGGAAAGUUCACACUGUGACGGUAUCUUACCAGAAAGGGACGGCUAACUACGUGCCAGCAGCCGCGGUAAUACGUAGGUCCCGAGCGUUGUCCGGAUUUAUUGGGCGUAAAGCGAGCGCAGGCGGUUAGAUAAGUCUGAAGUUAAAGGCUGUGGCUUAACCAUAGUACGCUUUGGAAACUGUUUAACUUGAGUGCAAGAGGGGAGAGUGGAAUUCCAUGUGUAGCGGUGAAAUGCGUAGAUAUAUGGAGGAACACCGGUGGCGAAAGCGGCUCUCUGGCUUGUAACUGACGCUGAGGCUCGAAAGCGUGGGGAGCAAACAGG
rnacentral:rRNA from 1 species